UACGUAAAAUGUGUGCGUUUUCACGCUGCGCAAGAAGCGGGAGAGAUAGCAAAUCGGAUGCAUAGUUGUAUGUUGGUUUAUUCGGUGUUUGCGUCCUGUACGUGGUAUGAAUUUUAGUCGUGAAUUUCUAUACGAUGCAUGAGUAUGUUUACAAUACAAUUUUGUAUGAUAUUUUCUGUACUCUGUAGAUUUUGUUGAGAAAGUUGCAUCUAUUUAACGUUUGACAACGUUCCGUUUAUGUAUCUGCGUCUUCUCUAGACACUUUUCCGAUUAUAAUGGGUUAAUGUUUUAGGUUAUAUGUUUAGAAUGCUAAAUGAUACCCUAUAAAACACAUGGCAAACCAAGAUACUACAAAUUAUCAUGCACUCUGUGCAAAUGAUAAAGAUGAAAUUGAAGGUCUUAAUGACAGAUUGUUACAGUUAUUAUCUGCACAGAAAGUUCCGUCGCAAAACGUUGAAAGUAAUAUAUUCCAAACAUUGAGCGAUGCUAGUACCAACAAUGGGAGCUUUAAAGCUGAAAAUAAAGCAUGUACCUGGCCAUUAUUUAAUCAUCCUAAACACGAUUGUUCUCUUUUACAUCAUGAUAGUCCAGUCAAUUUACCAAAUUUACCAACAUAUCUUCCACCUAUUGGAGUGUUUUGGGACAUAGAGAAUUGUCAUGUACCAAAAGGAAGGUCUGCUAUGGCAGCGACACAAGUAAUUAGGGAUAAAUUUUUUAGUGGUUACAGAGAAGCAGAAUUUAUUGUUGUUUGUGAUGUUAGGAAGGAAACUAGUCAUGUUGUGAAAGAAUUAAAUGAUGCUCAGGUUAAUUUAAUACAUGUUUCUGGAAGUUGUAAAAAUGCUGCAGAUGAAAAGCUUAAGCAGUCUAUACGGAGGUUUGCGGAUAUACAUGGAAGUCCAGCAGCUGUAAUUUUAAUAUCUAGUGAUAUUGAUUUUGCUGCUGACCUCAGUGAUUUACGUUAUAGGAAGAAAAUUCAUGUGAUACUUUUACAUAUGAAGUAUACUUCUGAAGCAUUAAUACUCUGUGCCAAUGAGCAUUAUGAUUUUUCAGAACUUAUGGAAUCACUGCCGUCCAGUACUGUAGAGGUUACUACAUUUUAUGACCUUCUAAUUUGUAACCUUCCUAAAGAUCAAGAUGUUUUGUCUAUUAAACGUCGUCUUAAACAAUUGUCAGAAAACUGUGGUGGACGUGUACUGGAUGUCCAAUCAAAUGUUGCAGUUGUACGUUUCACUUCACAGAUCUUUGCAGAAAGGGCCCAGAAACGUAUGGAUGGAAAAAUUGUCCUUGGUUCGAAAAUUUCGGUAAAAUUUCCAAAGGAGAAAGGAAGUUAUUUUCAAAAAUUUCAAAGUAAUCCACCACAAGGAAAUUAUACAAGUAGAAAUCGUGCCCUGAGUGAAUCAGAAAUUGCUAUUAACUCGUCAAAACAAAUGUACAGUACUUCGGUAACGGGUGGAAGAGCCCUUCAAAUUCCGCAUUACCAGUCAUCAUCUCCAGUUAUUGGGACAUAUGCUUCAGCAUGGAGUGCUCAUUGUGCUCCAGUCUCUGCACCACCGGGAAUGAUUCAGCCACCGCCUAUUUUCGUUGGGAGACCAUAUUCAAAUAAUAAUAAUGUAACUUUAAAUAGAACGUACAAUGAACUUGCACGGGUCCAAUCUCCAUUAUUUUGGCAAAUCUCUGGUUCACAACAGUUUGGUCAUAUGUGGGAAGAACAAUAUAAAGUGGAGAAAACAAAACUACUUAGUAGAAGAAUUCAUAUCCCGCAGGCUCGGGAUAAUACAGUUACAAAUAAUGUAUCCUCCCGAACUCCGGAAGGUUUAAGGCGUAUACGAGUAACCCACCAUUCUUUCGUUCAACCUUCAGAAUGGACUGGACCAAGACAACAAUCUCUAUUAAACGUUUCUGCCAGUUUCAAUGGAAACUCUCAAUCGAAUUCAUUCAAGCGCCGCAGUCCAUCUCCAAUGUGCGAUCUACAAGCGCGAGAACGAAAUCAGUGGAAUGGACAAAAUCAACAAUCUGCAUCUAUACGAAACACUAGAACACCAUCACCCUACGAAAAUUCUGUGCAAACAAACAAUCAACAAAAUAGUCACACAUCUCCUUAUCAACAGAGUGACGCAGAAAACGAAGAAGUUGAGAAAUUCUUCAACCCGAUCAUCACUCACAAUGGAACAAUAAACAACGAAACCUGCACACCUAUUGAAUUACAAGUCACAAAUCUAGACCAAAGUAUUAAUCCAAAAAAAAUGAGGCAUAUGCUCGCUUCAAUCUUUUUGGAACAUGUAAUGGUAUUAAACGUAUCGAUUUUUACACAGUCUGAUGGUAACUUUGCUGCUAGCGUCAAAGUGCCUUCCUUGUCAGACGCACAAUACGCAAUUUCUCAAUUACACCGGCGCAAAGUUGGUUACAAACGUAUUUUGAUUGCGUACGCUCACAGUGGCAGAGCAAGUCCUCAGGUUGUACGAGCGCAGAUCGUGAUGCUCUUGCAAGAAGUACCGGGACACAAGCUUCCACUUUUUAAAUUCCGAGAAAUGUACGAAAGUCGUUUUAUGAUUUCCAUCAGUGUUUCGGAGUUGUACAAAAUGAAAGAUGUCUGUAUCAUUACCGAAGAUCCUGGCGGUAGGAUGGUUUCUCUGAAUCCAGACCACAGGAACACUCCGUCGCCUUGUUUCAAUACUACAACUCAGGAAGAACAAGUGGAAUUACCAUACUGUGCUAUUCACAUGUUAAAACCAUGGUCCGAUAAAGGUUGGGCUGAACAAAAAGUAGCGUCUCUUCCUAACGUAAACAUUUCUUUAAAGAUUCUUGAUCCACGUAUACAUCAGUUGCUGAGUACGCAUAAUGGAAGUUUACCACUGCCUAGCUUGCCAAACUGUUAUGAGGCUGAGUUCAAAGAAAACAUUCAGGUAGCUGAGAACGGGGUACCGUUGGAGCAUUUGGUAUCUUGUUUAUCUUGCGUGGAACUGAAGCAGAGUAUGGGUAGUGUGAAGUAUCUUAUAUGGACGGGAAAUAAAACUCAUGAUAAUAAUCAUGAAGAAAACAAGUGUGUAAGUCCUCCACUUGCAAAUCAGUUAGCACUUUUUAGCCGGGAACUGGUUGAUCUGCUAAAAACUGCUCCGCACUGCCAAUUACCAUUUAAUCGAUUUAUACCAGCAUAUCACCAUCACUUUGGACGACAAUGUAGAGUUGCCGAUUACGGAUUCACUAAACUGAUCGACUUACUAGAAGCACUCACACACACUGUACAGGUAAUGGGCGAAGGAAAUAAUCGAGUGGUAACAUUAUCUCACCGUGCCCAAGUACGUCGUUUUACUUCUGAUCUGUUGAGAGUUCUAAAAUCUAAAGCCAGCAAACAAGUAGCACUGUCAGAGUUCCCAAGUGUUUAUGCGAGAGUAAUAGCUAAACCAUGGGACAUCGUGGAUUACGGUGUUUGUGAAAUUGAAGACAUUCUUAACGAAGUAUCAGAAAAUACUGUUGUCGUGACAACGAUCAGUGGCGGAGAUAGAAUGAUAGCCAUACCGAAACGAGAACAAACUGCGGAAGAGAUUGAGCGAACGAAGCAGUUCGCUGUGGAGGUUGUAGAAUUAUUAGGACACGCACCUCAAUGCAGAAUGCAGUUUAAUAAAUUCGUGCCUUCGUAUCAUCAUCAUUUCGGCCAUCAGUGUCGAGUGUCCGAUUAUGGUUUUACUAAGUUAAUUGAAUUGUUCGAGGCCAUACCGGACGUAGUCAAGAUCGAAGAUGACAACACCGGAGAACGACAAAUCUCCCUCACAGAAAAGGAAGGUUUUCGCGUCCUGUCUGAACAAAUAUCAAAAUUAAUCAUACGGUCAAAAGGUUGUCUCAGCAUUUCAAGCAUUCCGCAAAACUUUGUCCGACAGUUCGGUUACGCAUUAAGACCGGAAUCGUUCGACUGUUCAUCUAUACUAGAACUUAUGCAGAAGCUCGGAGAUACGGUGAAGGUUAUAUAUUUAUCAACCGAGCCGGUAGUUACAAUGGUAGAUAAGUCCCAUUUGCAACAAUUAACUUUACAAUGUCGUCGAGUAUUGAUGGACAAAGUUCAACGGAAAAUGACGGUUAAAGAAUUUCAACAAUCGUAUAACCAGUAUUAUUUAAAGCUGUGUAACAUGGACGAGCUUAAACAAAAUCUCUCUAACGUAAUUCAGUUUACAACGGUGAAUGACGAAGAAUUUAUAGAGCUCACUCCGUUACAUUGUUUCGCUUGUGAUUUAUACCGUAUAAUGAUGAAUUAUAACGGAACAUUGAAACUUCCUCAGUUUGAGACUGCAUAUUUAUCAACUAUGGGUGUUGUUUGUAAGCCUGCGAAAUACGGAUUUUCAACAAUGUUCGCAUUAUUGCAAGCGUUGCCCUGUACAGUUACGAUACAGAUAACGCGGCGUAAAAAGACAAUUAUACGUUUAAACAAAAAACUUGCUGCGGCUGGUAUACCGCUGCCACCUGCUUUUACGUCAGCGUCCCCGUAUCGUGAUACGGAUUCCAGUAACGAAUCGUUUGAAAGCGAUUCCUCUUCCCGCGUGAAUGUUUCCAAUAAUUCAGUUACGUUAGAAGAACAUGUGAAGUGGGCAGGACCAAAUACUGAAAGUCAGAAUUCGUGGAAACAAUCCGACGAAGAUAUUUUAUGGUAUAAGGAACCUGAACAGUGGAAAUUGUCAGCAUCGAAAGAUCAAUUAAUGAAUUGGUCGAUGCAAGAGAACGGGAGCGAAAGCUUCCUUAAAAGCUUAAUGCGUACUCCUAUUAUACCAUCUGCUUUCCCACCACCACCGCCCAAACCAGAUUCUCCACCUGAGGAGAAUUUAAAUAAAAAUCAGUGGGAAUCCUCUGUAUGGAUGACACCCACAAAGUACACAUAUCCACAGAAUGAACACACCAAUGUACAGGUUCCUCCAUUAACCCUACCUCCUUCUUGGAAUCAAAUAGUCUGCGGUGAUAGCGCAUCCAACUUGCUAUCGCCGACGAAAAAUUUACUACCUGCUGCGGCAAAUCCUUUGAAUCCACGCACGUCUCCUUACUUUUCCUCGAAACAUAACUUGGUUGUGGCUCCCCAUCCAUCUGAAUUACCGCUUCCUUCGUUGUCAUUGACUCCGAAAAAGAACGUAUUGUCGGAGAACAUUGUGACCGCGAAAAUUUUCGUGGGUAAACAAGAGAAUGUAAAGAAAUCAGUGGCCGAAUCAAACAUUGACUACGUCAACAAUAACACGGAGGUUGACGAUACCGACAAUGAAAAACAAAACACGCCCACAAAGCAGUGUACGUAGCCAGCGUGUUUUCUACAGUAGAACUCCCCUAUAAUACGAUUAAAAAAUUGUUAGAAAAUAACUAUAAAAGUGAAAAAAUAAUACGAGCAGAGGAAGAAGAUGAAUUAGUAUCCAAAAGGCGACUGUACACGGGGAAACGUCGCUUAGCUGCUCAGUUUAAUCAGCCCAUUGAAUCUUAAAGAAUAGAAAUAGUGUUUAAUAAUGUACAAACGUAUGCUGAAUGCAAAGAAGCUGUCAUUGGAGCACAGACAUACAUAUAUAUAUAUAUAUAGAUCAUAUACAAAUAUAUACAUACACACACAUCAUACACACACAUACACACAUUUCUCAGCCUUGAAAUGUGUUAUUUGGGAUUAAUAAAGAAGGGAUUUCUAGCAUCUCGGUAGGCUGUCACACAGCGGGCUCAAUACCUAUACACCGUUUCUUGAAUGGUAGGUACCCCUCCUCAUUUAUAUUUGAAAUAUAAUGGUAGUACUAUAUGGAUUUGAUACAUACGCGAUAAAGAACAGAAUUUAUUUUCAAGAAAUAUGAAAAUAUAUAUAUAUAUAAUAAUAAUAUUACCUAUGUACUAAGUAGCUAUUAUUUCUGAUUUGAAAAAUGCGAAUAAGUGUGCGGCGUUUAUACCGAGUGAUAUAUAUAUAUAUAUCGAUUAUACCGUAUAAAAAAAAUCCAUGUAGCAUUUUUCAUACUGUGAUAUAGAAUAGAAAGAAAGAGUGCAAAUGGUAGAAUAAUACAUGAGGGUAAACUUGAAAUUGGCAAUAAUUGUGCAUGUUCCAUAGGUUUGGGCUAUUAUUCCUGCAUCGAGUGCCACAAUUUUUAUUAAUAUUUCAAAUUAUGCUUCAAUUAGAGAUAUCUGCAUAAAGUUGACUAAUUACAGUGGUAGAUUCAGAGAAAUUAUUCGCAACGAAAAUCGCUCUCGUUAUUGAAAUUAAAUAUUUUUUUACAAUUUAUAUAAAUUGAAAAUAUUUGGUGUAUUUGUCAUGUUUAAUCGGUGGUACCUCUUUAUUGCAAAGAGAAUAUAAUCAGCCCAAUCCUAUCGAUUAUUGUAAAUUAUUGACCUAAAGAACGAUAUAAACAGCCAAGACCAUAUUAAUUAAAUUAUCGUAUCUAGAUAUAGUGUCGUUACCAACUACGAAACCGAAUAUAAUUCAUUUUAAUCGGUCAUUCGUUCACCUUAAAUUAUCCAUUUACACAAUUAUUUUCCUAUUUACGUUAGCGAAUUCCCUUCAUUAUUAUCUAUUUGUUUUUAUGGCACAUCUGAUUUUCUAAAAUUGUAUUACAAGUGAAUGUAUUUUGAAUAUUUUGAUAACAAAUCGAAAGACUUUGUAUGAUACUUUAAAAUGUCAUAUUAUCUCAUUAUGUACGCGAAGCUAAUUUUAAGUGGAAAAAUAUUUAUCAACUUACAUAUAAUCAUUGCCAAAUAGCUUAAAAUCGCAAGAACUACAAAGCGUAUGGUGCAAGCAAAAAGUCAAGUUUUUACGAAUUCUAAUUGAGACUAAUUCCUUAAAAAGAGAUUGUAAUACGGUGACACGUAAUUAAAAAGUUUUAUCCAGAAUAAGACAAAAUGCAAGACUCUGUAAAAUAAAUUAUAUCAAUCGGAUUGAAGAACAUUUAACUAAUGAUUACUUUUAAACAACGCUACUAUUUUACUGGAAUAUUUUCUGUUUUCAAUGUCAAGCGAGAACAUUGAAUUUGAAAAAAAAAAUGUUGGCAUUCAUUAUGUUGCAACGAUACAUUAUUAGUAGAUUUAAAUAAAUAACGCGAGGUACUAACAGAAAAGAUUGCUCUCUAUGAAGUACACGUAAACGAUCUUGUUGAUCUCAUAUUUUAUUUUAAUUAAU